GACGAACGCUGGCGGCGUGCUUAACACAUGCAAGUCGAACGCUGAUGGCCCAGCUUGCUGGGUUGGAUAAGUGGCGAACGGGUGAGUAACACGUGAGUAACCUGCCCUCUUCUUUGGGAUAACGGUCGGAAACGGCUGCUAAUACCGGGUAUUCACUGUCCUUCGCAUGGGGGGUGGUGGAAAGGUUUUUUCUGGUGGGGGAUGGGCUCGCGGCCUAUCAGCUUGUUGGUGGGGUGAUGGCUUACCAAGGCUUUGACGGGUAACCGGCCUGAGAGGGUGACCGGUCACAUUGGGACUGAGAUACGGCCCAGACUCCUACGGGAGGCAGCAGUGGGGAAUAUUGCACAAUGGGCGAAAGCCUGAUGCAGCGACGCCGCGUGAGGGAUGGAGGCCUUCGGGUUGUAAACCUCUUUCGCUCAUGGUCAAGCCGCAGCUUUGGGUUGUGGUGAGGGUAGUGGGUAAAGAAGCACCGGCUAACUACGUGCCAGCAGCCGCGGUAAUACGUAGGGUGCCAGCGUUGUCCGGAAUUAUUGGGCGUAAGGGGCUUGUAGGCGGUUUGUCCCGUCUGCCGUGAAAUCCUCUGGCUUAACUGGGGGCGUGCGGUGGUACUGGCACGCUUGAAUGCGGUAGGGGAGACUGGAACUCCUGGGGUACCAUGUAUGCCAGAUAUCAGGACAAACACCUGUGGCGAAGCGGGCUCUGCUCGUUACUGAGCUGAGGAUCGAAAACCUUGGGAUCUACAUGAUGAAUACUCAGAAAUUCAAGUUGAUUUCAAU
rnacentral:rRNA from 1 species